GUGGGAUAUCAAGGGAUGGAGACCAAAGAAUGAAGACUGAUGGUGUUGAUUGAUUAAUUCAGAAGAACUGCUCAUGCAGGUCCUGCAUGCAUACAUCCACAUAAAGCAACCAGACCAGAGUGCUGUCCGCAGUGUGAGCAUGCCCAUGUAGAGUUACUCUUUAAUGUCUGCAAUCUUCAUAGAGAUUAUAAUUUGAUGAUGGAGUUAGCCAGUUAGAUCAUCGCUGCCGUAAAGUGAAGAUACCAGAAGCUUCGGACAUACAAGAGAAGUUAGCAAG
rnacentral:lncRNA from 1 species